UACGUAGGGGGCAAGCAUUAUCCGGAAUCACUGGGCGUAAAGGGUGCGUAGGCGGCUGAGCAAGCCAGGGGUGAAAGGCAGUAGCUUAACUAUUGUAAGCCUUUGGAACUGUUCAGCUUGAGUGUAGGAGAGGUAAGUGGAAUUCCUAGUGUAGCGGUGAAAUGCGUAGAUAUUAGGAGGAACACCAGUGGCGAAGGCGACUUACUGGACUAUAACUGACGCUGAGGCACGAAAGCGUGGGGAGCAAACAGG
rnacentral:rRNA from 1 species